rnacentral:rRNA from 1 species
AGAGUUUGAUCAUGGCUCAGAGCGAACGCUGGCGGCAGGCUUAACACAUGCAAGUCGAACGGGCACUUCGGUGCUAGUGGCAGACGGGUGAGUAACACGUGGGAACGUACCUUUCGGUUCGGAAUAAUUCAGGGAAACUUGGACUAAUACCGGAUAAGCCCUUCGGGGGAAAGAUUUAUCGCCGAUAGAUCGGCCCGCGUCUGAUUAGCUAGUUGGUGAGGUAAUGGCUCACCAAGGCGACGAUCAGUAGCUGGUCUGAGAGGAUGAUCAGCCACAUUGGGACUGAGACACGGCCCAAACUCCUACGGGGGGCAGCAGUGGGGAAUAUUGGACAAUGGGCGAAAGCCUGAUCCAGCCAUGCCGCGUGUGUGAUGAAGGCCUUAGGGUUGUAAAGCACUUUUGUCCGGGAAGAUAAUGACUGUACCGGAAGAAUAAGCCCCGGCUAACUUCGUGCCAGCAGCCGCGGUAAUACGAAGGGGGCUAGCGUUGCUCGGAAUCACUGGGCGUAAAGGGCGCGUAGGCGGACUCUUAAGUCGGGGGUGAAAGCCCAGGGCUCAACCCUGGAAUUGCCUUCGGUACUGAGAGUCUUGAGUUCGGAAGAGGUUGGUGGAACUGCGAGUGUAGAGGUGAAAUUCGUAGAUAUUCGCAAGAACACCAGUGGCGAAGGCGGCCAACUGGUCCGAUACUGACGCUGAGGCGCGAAAGCGUGGGGAGCAAACAGGAUUAGAUACCCUGGUAGUCC